rnacentral:rRNA from 1 species
CCCUUAGAUGUUCUGGGCCGCACGCGCGUUACACUGAUGCAUUCAACGAGUUCUUCCUUGGCCGAGAGGCCUGGGCAAUCUUUUGAACGUGCAUCGUGAUAGGGAUAGAUUAUUGCAAUUAUUAAUCUUGAACGAGGAAUUCCUAGUAAACGCAAGUCAUCAGCUUGCAUUGAUUACGUCCCUGCCCUUUGUACACACCGCCCGUCGCACCUACCGAUUGAAUGGUCCGGUGAAAUCUCGGGACGGCGGCUUGGUCGCUUGCGUCCGACUGCUGAAACUUGAUUAAACCAUAUCAUUUAGAGGAAGGUGAAGUCGUANCA